rnacentral:rRNA from 1 species
ACUACGGGAGGCAGCAGUAGGGAAUCUUCCACAAUGGGCGCACGCCUGAUGGAGCAACACCGCGUGAGUGAAGAAGGGUUUCGGCUCGUAAAGCUCUGUUGUUGGAGAAGAACGUGCGUGAGAGUAACUGUUCACGCAGUGACGGUAUCCAACCAGAAAGUCACGGCUAACUACGUGCCAGCAGCCGCGGUAAUCCGUAGGUUGCAAGCGUUAUCCGGAUUUAUUGGGCGUAAAGCGAGCGCAGGCGGUCGCUUAGGUCUGAUGUGCAAGCCUUCGGCUUAACCGAAGAAGUGCAUUGGAAACCGGGCUACUUGAGUGCAGAAGAGGACAGUGGAACUCCAUGUGUAGCGGUGGAAUGCGUAGAUAUAUGGACGAACACCAGUGGCGAAGGCGGCUGUCUGGUCUGCAACUGACGCUGAGGCUCGAAAGCAUGGGUAGCGAACAGGAUUAGAUACCCUGGUAGUC